rnacentral:lncRNA from 1 species
CAUCAACUUACUAUUGUGGUCCAUUUAUAUCUGCUUUGUAGUGAACCUCGAUCAGACUGUAGCUACAGUUUAAGGUGUCUCGUUUGUAUAAUUUGCGGGUAUGUUUGUAUAAUUGAACUAUUUUUGUAUAAAUUCGAAAUAACGAAUUUAUACAAACAUAAACAUCUGAACUUCAUACAAAUUAUAUUAUACAAAAUUACAUUAUACAAACGUUAUACAAAUUAUAUUAUAUAAAUUUUGAAUUAUACAAACGUGCAAAUUAUACAAACUUGAAACCUCAGCCCAUGUAAUUAUCACUAAAUAUUGUCGCGAGUGGUAAUUAACUAAAUCUAUAUACUUAUGAUGACUAAUUAACUAAUAUAUAUUUGCUUAACCACGUAAUUUUCCUUUUAUCAUUCAUCAAAACAUGGACCUUCCAUCCAGCACCCUUUAAAUUUGUAACAACAUGUAAUUUAACAUCUUUAGCACUAAUGAACAUGCCAGCCACAUGGAAAGUAUAUCAUGAUCAACAAUUAGAAAACACUACUCAACACAUGUUGAUUAAUUUUUGGAAAAUCAAUUAUUUAAUAGUUUGCUAUUAUUUCCAAAGAAGAAUUAGUUAUUUACACACACAAUUUUCAUACCUUUGAACUUCAAAAUUAAUUUAACAAGUACAUUUUAUUUAUUAUCAGAAAAAACCACAUUCUCAAC